AUAAGGAGGAUCCGAGCGUUAUCCGGAUUUAUUGGGCUUAAAGGGUGCGCAGGCGGGAGAUUAAGUCGGCGGUGAAAUUUUGCAGCUCAACUGUUAAAGUGCCUUCGAAACUGGGUUCCUUGGGUGUAGAUGAAGUAGGCGGAAUCUGUGGUGUAGCGGUGGAAUGCAUAGAUAUCACGAGGAACUCCGAUUGCGCAGGCAGCUUACUAAACUACUACUGACGCUCAGGCACGAAGGCGUGGGGAUCAAACAGGAUUAGAUACCCUGGUAGUCCACGCAGUAAACGAUGAUUACUAGCUGUUUGCGAUACAAUGUAAGCGGCUGAGCGAAAGCGUUAAGUAGCCCACCUGGGGAGUACGUUCGCAAGAAUGAAACUCAAAUGAAUUGGCGGGG
rnacentral:rRNA from 1 species